rnacentral:rRNA from 1 species
GUCUAUGGCCAUACCACCCUGAACGCGCCCGAUCUCAUCUGAUCUUGGAAGCUAAGCGGGGUCGGGCCUGGUUAGUACUUGGAUGGGAUUCCGCCUGGGAAUACCGGGUGUUGUAUUUU